ACGCUCGACACCUACGGGAGGCAGCAGUGGGGAAUAUUGCACAAUGGGGGAAACCCUGAUGCAGCGACGCCGCGUGGAGGAAGAAGGUCUUCGGAUUGUAAACUCCUGUUGUUAGGGGAAAAAGAGGAUGGUACCCAACAAGGAAGUGACGGCUAACUACGUGCAAGCAGCCGCGGUAAUCUGAGCGGGCUGGCAAGGC
rnacentral:rRNA from 1 species